UCAAUGAUUGCUAUCAUGUCAUGUAUUGAUAUUAUAGAUAGAUUCUCUUAUCAGUGGCAAUAGCAGUUCUUCAAGUAACGCAUUUGUAUUUGACGUGAUAAUUUAUCUCAAAAAUAUUAAAUAUCCCAUAACAUCUAUAUAGAGUUGUCACUAUGGAUUAUACAAUUAUCAUUGUUUUCUUGUCAUUCGUUAUGGGAGUAGUAUCUGAAACAGAAAUACUAUGCACUACCAGUUAUUGCACGUCAUACAUUACCGAGUAUGGUUGCAAUUCUCUAUAUGGAGCAUGCCGUGCUAUGAAUUCUACAUAUCAUGGAACAUAUCUUCCCUAUCCUGCUGCCUGUAAUUGCUGUGAUUAUUGUCUUCAAAGCCUGAAUGAAGGUGAAAUUUGUGUAGAAGGUUUACCCGGGAUGUUACCUCCUGCAGAAAUGUGUGGAUUAGGAUUAUAUUGCACUGCCAAUGAGAAUAAUCCAGCUACAUGUCAACAAUUGGUUAGUCAUUGCACCAAUGCUCAAGAUGAAUAUGAUGAACGUGCAGCAAAUGGAACUUUGGGCAGUAUGGAAGUUCGACCACUUUGUGAUGGCGAAGGAGAUUUCAUGCCAGCACAUUGCAUUCCUGGAUCCAUAUGCUAUUGCGUCUCACCAUAUGGUGAUAGAAUAUUUGGAGAAAUUCCAUAUAAAAAUCCAUGGGAUGUGGAACAAAUGACCUGUGAAUGCUCAUUGAAUGCUUGGAAAGCUCAAAACACUUUAGAUCCAAAUUAUACAGUCCAUGUAGCUAGGUGCCUCAGUAAUGGACUUUUUGAUCCAUUACAAUGUAUGAAUGGACCUAAUGGUACUUGUUUAUGUGUCGAUUCUUUCACUGGAUCUCCUAGAAUUGGUAUAUCUACUGUCACAGUACUGGAACUUGCAGAAGACAGUCCAACUUGUUUUGACCCAACAAUACAUACAAAUGGAACGUAUGACACAGACUGCGAGGAACAGUAUAAUACAAUUUUGGCCGCAAUUGACAGUUAUGUUGCAGAAGGCAAUACUAAUCAUGGUCUUGCACUACCGUCUUGUCAACCAGAUGGAAGAUAUGCUAGAGUUCAAAUUUCCGGUUCUAAGAAAAUUUGUGUUGAUCCGUCUGGAAAUCAAAUAGAGUCUUAUGAAGCAUUUACAAAUUCAACAGCAGCUGAUAUAAUGGAUUGUAAUUGCGCAAGAACUCGCUGGUUAUUGAAACAAGCAGGAGUGGUGGAAUUACCCAGUUGUUGUAAUUUUGGAAAUUUUGAGGCUUGGCAAUGGCGACGAAAUGAAACAUUUUGCGUAGAUGUAAAUGGAGAUCAAAUCGGUCGAGAAGUACCCUCUCAAAACGUAGCUACUCUGGCAUGUUACCAAACGAACAUUGGAGACCCUUGUUUAGUUUGAAGAAAAUUCUGCAGCCUACCUUGUUUUGAGGUCUUACGCUGGGACGAGCCUCCGGUUUGUCCAGAAUCUGGUUUCGAGUUUUAUUCUAUCACGUUGUCAACCAGUGCUGUCAUUGACCUGUACCACAUUCAUCAUUACAUAUAGAGGAUCAUGACCCAACCGGUCCAUUUCAGCCAACAGGAAGUCAACAUCAGCUUCCGUAACAGCAGCACUGGAGAUGAUACUUCUGAAGAAAUUUGGCCGCCGAUCAUCAGGCUGAUAACCCACCAUUAAGGUUCCAGCU